CCGACGAGCGGGCCGAGCGGGGUGGGCCGUGGGGCGCCGUGGUCGCCCUGGCCGUGUUCGAGACGCGUCGGCUGC
rnacentral:tRNA from 1 species